AUUGAACGCUGGCGGCAUGCCUUACACAUGCAAGUCGAACGGCAGCACGGGGCAACCUGGUGGCGAGUGGCGAACGGGUGAGUAAUGCAUCGGAACGUGCCAUUGAGUGGGGGAUAACGUAGCGAAAGUUGCGCUAAUACCGCAUAUUCUGUGAGCAGGAAAGCAGGGGGACCGCAAGGCCUUGCGCUCUUUGAGCGGCCGAUGUCAGAUUAGCUAGUUGGUGAGGUAACGGCUUACCAAGGCGACGAUCUGUAGCGGGUCUGAGAGGAUGAUCCGCCACACUGGAACUGAGACACGGUCCAGACUCCUACGGGAGGCAGCAGUGGGAAUUUUGGACAAUGGGGGCAACCCUGAUCCAGCCAUGCCGCGUGAGUGAAGAAGGCC
rnacentral:rRNA from 1 species